rnacentral:rRNA from 1 species
GACGAACGCUGGCGGCGUGCCUAACACAUGCAAGUCGAACGGAGAAUCACUUGUGAUUCUUAGUGGCGAACGGGUGAGUAACGCGUAGACAACCUGCCUUCUAGAUGGGGACAACACCGCGAAAGUGGUGCUAAUACCGAAUGUUGUAACGAAUUCGCAUGAAUUUGUUACUAAAGGUGGCCUCUAUUUAUAAGCUAUCACUAGAAGAUGGGUCUGCGUCUGAUUAGCUAGUUGGUGAGGUAAUGGCUCCCCAAGGCGACGAUCAGUAGCCGGGCUGAGAGGAUGAAGGGCGACACUGGGGCUGAGACACGGCCCGGACUCCUACGGGAGGCAGCAGUGGGGAAUCUUCCGCAAUGGACGAAAGUCUGACAGAGGAACGCCGCGUGAGUGAAGAAGGUUUUCGGAUCGUAAAGCUCUGUCUUCAGGGACGAACGUUUUGCUUGUGAAUAAUGAGAGGAAGUGACGGUACCUGAGGAGGAAGCCACGGCUAACUACGUGCCAGCAGCCGCAGUAACAC